GGCUGAUCUGAAGGUAGUGAGUUAUCUCAAUUGAUUGUUCACAUUUACAGAUUGAACCUCUUGUUCUACUCUUUCCCCUUUCUCACUGUUGCACUUGACUAGUCUUUU
rnacentral:Y_RNA from 1 species